GGGCCCAUAGCUCAGCUAGGUAGAGCAUCUGGCUUUUAACCAGAGGGUCAGGGGUUCGAACCCCCUUGGGCCCG
rfam:Thermoplasmatales archaeon Gpl AMDT5_GPLC00014, whole genome shotgun sequence.